UUACAUAUCCAACACAAUUCCAGCCCAUUUCCCUAAUCUUAAUAGCUUUAGAGAAAGAGCAUGGUUAGGUCCCACAAGCAGUCUUAUGACUCGUCACACAUCUUCAAGCAUGGUUAGGUCCCACAAGCAGUCUUAUGACUCAUCACACAUCUUCAAGCAAUGGUUAGGUCGCACAAGCAGUCUUAUCAUGACUCAUCACGCAACUUCAACCUUUGAUAUCAUU